UCAAUAAUUUGACUUACAGAGGUCGUUAAAAUUUUGAAUUUGUACUAUUUGUUGGUUUGGGGCUUUGGGGUGCUGGCGAUUCUUGUGCUGGAGUUGCUGGUGGUUUUUGUGGAGGUGAUGGUUUUGGUGGCUGGUGCCGUGGGGUUUUUGAGCUUGAAUCUGAUGUUAGGGAUGGUUUUGAUGGUGAUAGUGGUUUAAGGUUUCGAUUUCUUGUUAUUGAUGUUUUGAUCUUUAAAAUUUGAACUUCUCUAGUCCAAAAAAUUGGUUUUGAAUUUUGAAUAGUUAUUAGAAUUUUUAAAAAAUGCAGGGGUAUUAAAGCGAUUUGGUAGUUUUGUAUUACCAAGUAAUUCAUUUACCUCAACCAAACAUUAAUAUUUGGAUUCAGAAUCUCGUUCCCUGGAUUUCAAUUCCUGGUAAUGGGUUACCCCAUAAUUGUGAUUCGUUCAGAUAGGGUUCUUUUUCUAUUUUAAGGAUUUUCUUUCUUUGAAAGUUCUUAGUCUGUUCUAGUUUCUUUAAUUUAGGGUCUGGACUGAAUUCAAUCUUCUAUUGUGUAUGUUUAUGCUGACAGAUCCGCUCCUCUCACUGCAUGUCUGCAGCCUCUUGACAAAAGUGAAUCAGUUCCAGUAUGCUCAAACUGAAAGUACUUCACUUUUACUAACUCAUUUUGAUUUGUCUUAUCAUUUCGUUGUAGUACAUACUUAGUGGAGUUGCUUCUUUACGUUUUUAUCUUUCCAAUUUGUUGGCGAAAGAUUGCCACCCUGUUCAAUCUCAAAACAUGGAGCUUGCAACGAAUAGACAUUGUAAUGCACUCUGUUACCAAAUCUAUAUCCGGGCAUGCGGAUGUCAUGGCAGGAGUCCUUGUUGCAUUCCCCUGCACAGCACAGAAUGAAAUUGGGCAAUAUGAUGCCGUAUAUUGGUAGAGGGCUCUACUAUUACUUGUACUCCUCAAGCAGUUGAUGUACCGAGGAAAGAUAAUGGUCUUAUUGCUCCAACAAAGGCUGCUGGCACUAGAAGGAGGUGGGGAUUGAGAAACAUAGGUAAUGGAUCAGCAUCGCUCUGACUCAGGAUUUAAACUUGGGUCUGUGAACCAUACAUCAGAAGCAGUGGUGAAGAAGUAGGAUGCCGUAAGGUUAACUUCUAAAGUUGAAGGACUAAUUGUGCUGAAAGCAACCCAUGUAACUGUUCACCACUCUUCUCGCAUCUUGGUCGUCGUAAAGCAAUGUACUGGAGAAGCAGACUUGUUCAAGCUGUUGCAUGGAGCGCAUACUUGUCAAUUUCUCUUCUUAUAGCGGAUUGUUUGAUUGCUCAGUUGUCUUGAGAUUGAUACAACGAUGUAGUGAGAGUGAUUUUUCAUUUAACUACAGGGAGUUGGAGGAACAGUUGAGUUGGCCCCUAGAUACUUAAAACAAGUAUAUGAUGUGGUAAUAAGGCAGGUGGGAUGUUUAUGGCGGAUGAAGUACAAUUUGACCGUACUGGAAGCCAUUUCUGGGUUUUUGAGAAAAAAGAUGUCAUUCCUGAGUUUGUUACUAUGGCCAGGGUCACUACCACCACUCUCACGUACUUUUUUUGGUACCUCGGAUCUUUACAUUGUUUGUUUGAUGUGAACAAGUCUACAUCCAUUUUAUAAACUGUGACAGGGUAUGUGAAAUGGUUUACCGUUAAGAGCAGUUGUGACGACACCUGAAAUAGCAAGUGUAAUGGCUCAAGAAAUUCAGUUCAACAUGUUUGGUGCAAACCUGUAUGUUCAAAUGGUGGGCUUUGGCGUUCUCAGAGUCCUCGGUAUGGAAAAGUGUGAAGCACAUUGUGCUGAUGACUGGAUGUCUGGAAUCUCUGCAGCAGAGAUAUGAAAGUAAACCAUUGGUAACCUAAGAUUGGGUACUAGUAUAAUCCCCAUCAGACCCGAUGCACAGCACCGAUUGGGUACUAGUAUAACAAUGACCUGAAGCAUCGUUAACACCUUGUUUCGAUGAGAGGCUCUUGAUUACAAUUGCAUUAUCCUUUCGGAAAUUUCUUCAAAACGAUCAGGCGGUAUUGGAAACCUGACAAACUCCUUCGUGUCUCUGUUGCAAUAGUAAAACCAGGUAGAAUUUUCUGGUUGUACGAAGAUUAAAUUUGUUCCUCUAAGAACUUCAAUAGAAUCAUCUCCUUUGUAAUUCCAUGUUGAUUCAUAAGGUAUUUCGAACUUCUCUUCAAUCCACUCGACGCUACCAUCUGUAUCUUCAAUAAGUACCCAUAGGGAAAUGUCACCUUCCGUUACAUGUUGUACUACAGCCACACAUCCAUCCACUUCUCUCAA